UCUCACUGAAUGUUUUGGGAA
rnacentral:piRNA from 1 species